CGUGUUGUAGUAUAUUGAUUGCAACUGAUUCGUAAUCAGUAGGUCUGAGGUUCGACUCCUCCAAACAGAACCA
rnacentral:tRNA from 1 species